rnacentral:lncRNA from 1 species
AUGGAUCUAAGGAUCACAGUCUAGUUUAUCGAUAGGCUAUUUUCAAGCUCAGAAACCAACCUUAAAGUCAGUGACAUCGCAUCUCUUCGUACCACUUGUGUGUUUUGCUCAAAACAAUCACCAGCGCGCCACCAUAAACGAAGUCCGACGACUUUGCAUCACGACAACCAGCAUUCCGUUCGACCCAACUUAACGGUCCCUGAAUAAUCGAUCGUCUCCGUUCAUGUCAUUGAGCCAAUUUCGUUUGCCUGUUCUAAGCGGCAGCGGACCUCCGACGUAUUGUUAGAAGAUAUUUGUUGAAUCUCUAUUACUUGGUCUACUAUCUCUCUCUAAGGCUGUCACUUUAACUCAGUUCCGAUUGAUAGUUCGAUAGCUCUAGUCGGUUGUCUUCGAUAAACUCCCAUCAGUUACUAAGGUUUUUGAUUGUUUAAGGACGACUAAAUUCUUUUGAUUUGGUUUGCUUGCUAAUAAGACUUGUCGUUGGGGCGUCAACGACAUGGCACUUAUCGUGACGGUAUUGAAUGGGAACAACAGGAAAUAGUUUCAUUGUUCACUACUGAUGGAU